CAUGAGAUUAGGGGUUGGGUCUCUGUUCCCUAGUCUGUGAGAUUAAGGGUUGGGUCUCGUUCCCUAGUCCGUGAGAUUAGGGGUUGUGUCUUGGUUCCCUAGUCCGUGAGAUUAGGGGUUGGGCGGAUCCCAGGUUCCUCCCCUCAGCAGCUGACACUGUCACCACCUGGAGUGCACCUGUGAGGGACCAGGUCUGCCAGGCACCUCGCCGUCAAGCAGAGCAGGAUUUGACUCGAGCCAUUGUGCUGGUGGGGAAACUGAGGCCCAGCGAAGCGCCUCCUCGGUCCGCGCAUCUGCCCCUCUGGCCUGCACCUCCCCAGGGACUGACCCCCACCCUCUGCUUAGUGGUUGGGUGGAUAUACACGUGUUGCCAGGGGAUGCACAGCUAAAAUCGGGGAGACCAGGAUUUGGACUCACAUCGGCUAGAUUCCAGAACUCCCCACCCUCUCUGUCCGCUCGCGUUGACGAUUCGAGGCUUGAUGGGGGAACGGUACCCCGGCUGAAAGCUGACUUGUGCGUUUCAUGGUAAGUGUCCCUGGCAGCCCAGCGCGCCUCUCUGAAACCCAUUAGGAAGCGCUGUCACAGGCUGGCAACGCUGAGAUCACCCGUGUUGACGCGUACUCGGCAGGCUGUAUGAAGGCCUUGGCAGGUUUUUGUUUUAAAAAGACUUCUCGAAAAUGACAGGCUUCAUUUCGGGGGUCUUUGUUAAUCUAACAGUGUUCCCCGGCUGAAAUGUGCGGACUGUUUACUAAAGCUUUUGCCGGUAAUGAGCUCGGGGCAGAAUUAAAACAAUUUCGGCUUCCUUUCGGGCAGGUGUGCUGCCUGGGGGGAAGGAAACCUCAACGCGAGCCCAGGGCUGUUGAAUGGGGCCAGAGUUCGACCUGGAGCCUGCCCGGGGCCUGGGCUGAUGUUUCCACCCCAAAGUGGGUCGGUAUCAGCACCAAGCAGCCACCGGUUAUUCUCCACAUGGUGUCACCUCUCGUAUGCGUUCUGGGGCUUCGCAUGGGGUGGUUAAAAAAAAUUAAUAGACAGGCCUUUAUUUCUCUCUCCGUGAGCCAAUGCUGGGAAUUAAUUUUUUCUGGCCCACUAACUCUUGUGGUUAAAAGUACAAAUUAAGCUUUCUGGGAGAAUCCAUCACAAAAUUAUUGCAAGGUCAGUGUGGGGAAGAUACUGGGUUAUGUCUGUAGGGUUAUUGUUUCUGCAGUUACACUUUGCUUUGCCUUUCUUCUCCCUGUGCUUGGGGAAAUCAACCCGAGAAUGGUCUUCCAACUUGGAAGAGUUAUUGGCUAUUUUUCCCCAAAUGGGAUUGCCCUUCUAGAGAACAGUGGGCAUCUAUUUGACAACAAGUUAUAAAUUUGUGCUCCAAGUUCUCUGAAGAAAGCAUGAAUCUUAGACAAUGGCGCUCUGGCGCGGUAUUUCAGGCGGGCGUGUGGAGCUGUCAGAAGCCAAUGAAGUCCUCAGGCGCCUACGUGGACCCAGGCAGCGUUUGUCAAGCGCUGUGCGUGGAGUCUGCGCGGGAUUCGGAGGUGGUGUCGUAUAUUAUCGCGCUUUCUCUCACGUCUCUGGCACCCGAGUCAUCGCGCUCCCCCGGGCCACUCUGAGUCAUCUAAUAGAGUUUUCCAGAGCGUGUCAGCUUCACUUCCACCUAAGUCGUUUCAGAUCCUGCACUUAUUGAAUCAGUGAGUGAUGCUGUCACUGGAAACUUCUUACCAAGCCGCAGGAUUACCUAUGCUAUGUGGGAGGCACUUGGCAGUGUCUGUCAUGCGGCGGGCCCUGCAUUGAGGAGCCCUGCCCUCUGGAAACCUGCUUGUUGCCACGGCCGAGAAGUUGCCUCAGUCCCGGGCUCCUGUGUGUCACGGAGCUGACUGCCAAUGGAGACGGUGACUCAUGCGAUGGCAUUUUGUGUGGCAUUGUGCACUUCAGCCUGGCACAGCACACCACACCCACAGCAAGUAUUCAAGAGCCAUUAGUGUUUAUGAAGGGGAUAAAAUUGCCCAAAUGGAGGGAAGCCAUCAAAAUAAGAGCCUUCGCCUGUCUCAUGGAAGUUAACUUGCAAACCUAAUGACUGCUGGGCUGUCGAGAAAGUGUCAUCUGGAUGUCUCACUGGAGACAGAACUCUCCGGAAGGGCAGUCGUGAAGCCCCUGAUCGCCUCGUGGGGGCGGGGGACGCAUUUUACAUGACAGUGAGUUGGAGAAAUUAGCAGUGGUCUCCAAGGAGCAGCCACCCGCCCCACCACCCCACUCAGCUUAACCCUUUGAGUUGCAGCAGCUUUAAAAUGAGUCCAGGAAAUAGCUGUGUAUAUUCUUCAUACUCCUCAUGUUUUCUCUGCAAAUAAAAGCGAUCUUGAACGUC